rnacentral:rRNA from 1 species
UCUACGGGAGGCAGCAGUGGGGAAUUUUGGACAAUGGGGGAAACCCUGAUCCAGCCAUCCCGCGUGUGCGAUGAAGGCCUUCGGGUUGUAAAGCACUUUUGGCAGGAAAGAAACGUCGUGGGUUAAUACCCCGCGAAACUGACGGUACCUGCAGAAUAAGCACCGGCUAACUACGUGCCAGCAGCCGCGGUAAUACGUAGGGUGCAAGCGUUAAUCGGAAUUACUGGGCGUAAAGCGUGCGCAGGCGGUUCGGAAAGAAAGAUGUGAAAUCCCAGAGCUUAACUUUGGAACUGCAUUUUUAACUACCGGGCUAGAGUGUGUCAGAGGGAGGUGGAAUUCCGCGUGUAGCAGUGAAAUGCGUAGAUAUGCGGAGGAACACCGAUGGCGAAGGCAGCCUCCUGGGAUAACACUGACGCUCACGCACGAAAGCGUGGGGAGCAAACAGGAUUAGAUACCCUGGUAGUCCACGCCCUAAACGAUGUCAACUAGCUGUUGGGGCCUUCGGGCCUUGGUAGCGCAGCUAACGCGUGAAGUUGACCGCCUGGGGAGUACGGUCGCAAGAUUAAAACUCAAAGGAAUUGACGGA